rnacentral:rRNA from 1 species
UACGUAGGGCGCAAGCGUUGUCCGGAAUUAUUGGGCGUAAAGAGCUCGUAGGCGGUCUGUUACGUCCGCUGUGAAAACCCGGGGCUUAACCCUGGGCUGGCAGUGGAUACGGGUAGACUAGAGGCAGGUAGGGGAGAAUGGAAUUCCCGGUGUAGCGGUGAAAUGCGCAGAUAUCGGGAAGAACACCCGUGGCGAAGGCGGCUCUCUGGGACGGUACUGACGCUGAGACGCGAAAGCGUGGGGAGCGAACAGG